rnacentral:lncRNA from 1 species
UGGAGAAAUCAAAGCUACAUAGUUCUUGAUUAAAAAAAACGGAUGUGUUGAGUGUGUUUUAAAGAAAAUUUGUUUUGUGAUAAAAAAUGUUUUGACAAAAUAGAAAAUAAAAGAAUUUGAUUUGAAUAGAUAUAUUAAAAUACGAGUUUUAAGACGAUCAAGUUGUACAACUCGUCUCCCAAAACUCAAGGAAUAAAGA